rnacentral:rRNA from 1 species
GACGAACGCUGGCGGCGUGCUUAACACAUGCAAGUCGAACGGUAAGGCCCUUCGGGGUACACGAGUGGCGAACGGGUGAGUAACACGUGGGUGAUCUGCCCUGCACUUCGGGAUAAGCCUGGGAAACUGGGUCUAAUACCGGAUAGGACCACUGCCUGCAUGGGUGGUGGUGGAAAGCUUUUGCGGUGUGGGAUGGGCCCGCGGCCUAUCAGCUUGUUGGUGGGGUGAUGGCCUACCAAGGCGACGACGGGUAGCCGGCCUGAGAGGGUGACCGGCCACACUGGGACUGAGAUACGGCCCAGACUCCUACGGGAGGCAGCAGUGGGGAAUAUUGCACAAUGGGCGCAAGCCUGAUGCAGCGACGCCGCGUGAGGGAUGAUGGCCUUCGGGUUAUAAACCUCUUUCAGCACCGACGAAGCGCAAGUGACGGUAGGUGCAGAAGAAGGACCGGCCAACUACGUGCCAGCAGCCGCGGUAA